UUGGCCACUACUCUAACCUAACCAAACCUAACCUGGAUUCUCCCCAUCAGACACUUUGCGAACACACUGAGAAGCACCUAAGCUAACCGGGGGGGCUGCGCCCCCCCUGGACCCCUCCCGCUUGGCUACUACUCUAACCUGACCAAACCUAACCUGGAUUCUCCCAAUCACACACUGCGAACACACUGAGAAGCACCUAAGCACCAGCUGCCACGCAGGAAGAUGCGUUCCUUCCAGGAAAGUUCCUUUAAAGUCAGAAACGCUGAAGUUGCACUGCUUACUGCGCUUCUUUUUCGGCAGCUUGCGGUACCGGCCGCAAUACCACACACGCCUGUCACUGCGCAGCUUACACGGCGUGUGGCACUCGGGACACUCGACUGCAGUGGGUAAAACGCCGUGUUCCCUCAAGAACUGGUAGCACAAGCCGUCUUUGCGGUGAAACGUAGCGAAGAAGAGCCAAUAAUCAAAUUUGCAACCAGCACAAGUAACGUCAACAGUAGCCAUGGCGGAAGUGACCGGAAGCGGUGUGCACACACCUGCCCGCGCAGCUUAUGGGUACUUAUAGAGACUUCCUAUUGGUGCAACUCGUGGUGUUAAGUGGUGGUAGCACGUGAUUGGCCCGAGGAAUUAUAGACACAGUGAUCCUAUCCAGCAGCUACCCACAAUUCAAAGCAUUAAACAACUGAAGUUCAGGCAACAAUACACCAUUUAUGUUUACCUGUGGGCUUAGAAAAAGUUGAGAGCGCUGUGCAUUCCCAGGCCUAUUGUGGCGUUAUUAUUAAUUUCCGACAAGUAGUGUAAUCAUUAGAAAUUAUGUGAAUAGUGAGAAGAACAAAAUGAGGUAGGUUAUUACCACGUAGUGUGUAAUGGCUUAAACUAUAAUAAAACCAAAGUUUGUACAGAAAAUGUGUCAGUGCUGUCAGAACAAACAAGAGAAGACAAUUGGUUUGAUGUAAAUGUGGGAGUUAGACAAGGGGGAGGGGUGAUAUCCCCACCGCUUUUUGUACUCUUUAUGGAUUGAUGUAUGAAAAAAAAAAAAAAAAAAAACUAAGGCUAGGAGGAGUCACUACACUGAUUUACGCGGAUGAUAUUGUGCUGGUUGCAUACAAACCAAAUGAACUGCAAAACGCAUUGAGUGAAUGGAAGAAUAUGCUAAAGGCAGCAAAAAUGAAAAUUAAUGUAGGCAAAACUGAAGUAAUGAUGGUAGCAAGAUGAAAAGAAGAGGUAGAAAUACAGCUAGAUGGUGAAAUACUAAAACUAGUGGAAUAAUUUAAAUAUUUGGAAGUGAAGGUAGAUGAAAAGUGCCAAAUGGAAAAAGAAAUUACAAAUAGGAUACAAAAGUACACAAAUGACUUGAAAAUACUUUAUCCACUGACGAAAGAGAAAGUAAUACCAAAGAAGGUAAAAACUACAAUUUACCAAACCAUAUUAAGACCAGUGUUAACCUAUGGAUCUGAAACUUGGACAUUGACAGAGAAGCUGAAGAGUAAAAUACAAGCAGCAAAAAUGAGUGUUAAGAUUAAUAAAAGGUGUUACAAAAUGUGAUAGAAUACAAAAUAAAGUAAUCAGAAGAGAGUUGGAAAUAGAGAACAUAUUAGAGUUCGUAGAAAGAAGCCAAUUAAGAUUAAGAAUGAACAAUCAACAAUACCAAGCCAAAUAUUACAGAUGGCAGCCUCAAGCUAAAUGACCAGCAAGAAGACCCAGGAAAAGGUGGAGGGAUGGUGUGAGGGAAGCAGUAGAGUCAAGAGAAAGAACCAUGGAGGAGGUAGAAAGAGAGCAACUGUAUGCAGAUUGGGCCUGGUGGAGAGACUUCGUGAGGCAUCACUGCUGACAGGGCUAUGGCCCUACCUGGUGUAUGGUGAGAAAUGGUGGGGGACCUCCAGAUGAGAGAACAUACACUGCUGUGAAGGUGGUUGUCCUGUGGAUGUUGCCUCCCACAGCAUUUGCAGGUCUGCUGUACCCUGACAGUGAUGGCGCCACAUUGUAUAAGUAAACUACCAAAGAAGUGUCGGGGCCUCUGGAAGGACCACGUCCUUCCAUCAGCAGUUGGAGCCAUCCAACGCUCUUCUGUUGGUGUUGCUGGGUCCGCAGGGACCCCAGCCAGUUGUUGCACCCCAUCCAGCUGCUGUAUCCUACCUAGCUCUUGCACCCAAGCCAGGUGCUGCACCCCAGCCACUUGCUGCACCUCACGUAGCUCUUGCAUCCUAGCCAGCUGCUGCACCCAAGCCAAACAGAAGGCGUACAACUCCUGCCAGUGGCCGCACAGAGUUAAAAGUUCUGUCUCAAGCGCAGGAAAACCAGCAGCAGAUUCGUCUGAGCAUGGACGAGCUGGUGAUGGUGCAGCAGGAACAGGGAGUGGCUGUACAAGACAUGUCCCAGGCACUUC